UACGAAGGGUGCAAACGUUGCUCGGAAUUAUUGGGCGUAAAGCGCACGUAGGCGGCUUUGCAAGUCCCAUGUGAAAUCCCACGGCUCAACCGUGGAAGUGCAUGGGAAACUGCAGAGCUUGAGUACUUAAGAGGAUCGCGGAAUUCCCGGUGUAGAGGUGAAAUGCGUAGAUAUCGGGAGGAACACCAGUGGCGAAGGCGGCGAUCUGGGAAGAUACUGACGCUGAGGUGCGAAAGCGUGGGGAGCAAACAGG
rnacentral:rRNA from 1 species